CCUACGGGUGGCCGCAGUGGGGAAUAUUGGACAAUGGGCGAAAGCCUGAUCCAGCCAUGCCGCGUGUGUGAAGAAGGCCUUCGGGUUGUAAAGCACUUUCAGUGGGGAAGAAAGCCUUGGGGCUAAUACCCUCGAGGAAGGACAUCACCCACAGAAGAAGCACCGGCUAACUCCGUGCCAGCAGCCGCGGUAAUACGGAGGGUGCGAGCGUUAAUCGGAAUUACUGGGCGUAAAGCGCGCGUAGGCGGUCUGAUAAGCCGGUUGUGAAAGCCCCGGGCUCAACCUGGGAACGGCAUCCGGAACUGUCAGGCUAGAGUGCAGGAGAGGAAGGUAGAAUUCCCGGUGUAGCGGUGAAAUGCGUAGAGAUCGGGAGGAAUACCAGUGGCGAAGGCGGCCUUCUGGACUGACACUGACGCUGAGGUGCGAAAGCGUGGGUAGCAAACAGGAUUAGAUACCCGAGUAGC
rnacentral:rRNA from 1 species